rnacentral:rRNA from 1 species
UGGGGAAUAUUGCACAAUGGGCGCAAGCCUGAUGCAGCCAUGCCGCGUGUAUGAAGAAGGCCUUCGGGUUGUAAAGCACUUUCAGCGGGGAGGAAGGCGAUAAGGUUAAUAACCUUGUCGAUUGACGUUACCCGCAGAAGAAGCACCGGCUAACUCCGUGCCAGCAGCCGCGGUAAUACGGAGGGUGCAAGCGUUAAUCGGAAUUACUGGGCGUAAAGCGCACGCAGGCGGUCUGUCAAGUCGGAUGUGAAAUCCCCGGGCUUAACCUGGGAACUGCAUUCGAAACUGGCAGGCUAGAGUCUUGUAGAGGGGGGUAGAAUUCCAGGUGUAGCGGUGAAAUGCGUAGAGAUCUGGAGGAAUACCGGUGGCGAAGGCGGCCCCCUGGACAAAGACUGACGCUCAGGUGCGAAAGCGUGGGGAGCAAACAGG